AAACCAGGAACGCAGUCCAGCCGUCUCAGAAUUCAAACAUUCUACCACAUAAUAGAGUUUACUCCAUCAACAACAAAAAAGAGCUGCAGCUUCUCCAAGAAGAGAUCGCACGGAUGAAGGAGAAUUGCAAGUGCUUGGCCUCGCCCACAAAUACCCCUCAAUGUGUUGUUAGGCGCCAAGGUGCGACGCUGUGACGGAAAGGAAUUGCCCAGCGUCGACAGAAGGCAACUCAACAGUAUUAAAGGAGACCACAUCACCUACAAGUGGUCGCAUUUCAGAGAUAUCACCGAAAAAAAUGGAGUGAUUUUGUCCACGCGGGAAGAAUAGGCAGCCACAAGUGUCAAGACCGGGACCUGAACCCAUACCCUGCUGACCAGAACCACAUAGAGCUUUGAUUUAUGGAAUGCCGUCUUGAAAGAGAGCCAAUUGAAAAGAGUGUGCCUUUACGGGGAUGCUUGAAACCACAGAGCAGGGACCCUGAAAGAAAGCCCGGUCAGAUUUUACAUUCUCAAAUUAAAUUGAUAGAGCAAUUAUUGUUUUUCCCUCGAGUUUAA